UUCGGGAUGCCGGCGAGCGGCGGACGGGUGAGUAAUGCAUGGGAAUCUGCCCGGUAGUGGGGGAUAACUCGGGGAAACCCGAGCUAAUACCGCAUACGUCCUACGGGAGAAAGCAGGGGAUCUUCGGACCUUGCGCUAUCGGAUGAGCCCAUGUCGGAUUAGCUUGUUGGUGAGGUAACGGCUCACCAAGGCAACGAUCCGUAGCUGGUCUGAGAGGAUGAUCAGCCACACCGGGACUGAGACACGGCCCGGACUCCUACGGGAGGCAGCAGUGGGGAAUAUUGGACAAUGGGGGAAACCCUGAUCCAGCCAUGCCGCGUGUGUGAAGAAGGCCUUAGGGUUGUAAAGCACUUUCAGUGGGGAAGAAGGCAUGACGAUUAAUACCCGUCAUGAAGGACAUCACCCACAGAAGAAGCACCGGCUAACUCCGUGCCAGCAGCCGCGGUAAUACGGAGGGUGCAAGCGUUAAUCGGAAUUACUGGGCGUAAAGGGCGCGUAGGCGGCUUGCCAAGCCGGAUGUGAAAGCCCCGGGCUCAACCCGGGAACGGCAUUCGGAACUGGCAGGCUAGAGUGCAGGAGAGGAAGGUGGAAUUCCCGGUGUAGCGGUGAAAUGCGUAGAGAUCGGGAGGAAUACCAGUGGCGAAGGCGGCCUUCUGGACUGACACUGACGCUGAGGCGCGAAAGCGUGGGUAGCAAACAGGAUUAGAUACCCUGGUAGUCCACGCCGUAAACGAUGUCGACCAGCCGUUGGACCCCUUGAGGGUUUGGUGGCGCAGUUAACGCAAUAAGUCGACCGCCUGGGGAGUACGGCCGCAAGGCUAAAACUCAAAUGAAUUGACGGGGGCCCGCACAAGCGGUGGAGCAUGUGGUUUAAUUCGAUGCAACGCGAAGAACCUUACCUGCUCUUGACAUCCUGCGAAUCUCCCAGAGAUGGGAGAGUGCCUUCGGGAACGCAGAGACAGGUGCUGCAUGGCUGUCGUCAGCUCGUUGUUGUGAAUUGUUGGGUU
rnacentral:rRNA from 1 species